AACGAACGCUGGCGGCAUGCCUAACACAUGCAAGUCGAACGAGACCUUCGGGUCUAGUGGCGCACGGGUGCGUAACGCGUGGGAAUCUGCCCUUGGGUUCGGAAUAACUCAGAGAAAUUUGAGCUAAUACCGGAUGAUGACGAAAGUCCAAAGAUUUAUCGCCCAAGGAUGAGCCCGCGUAAGAUUAGCUUGUUGGUGGGGUAAUGGCCCACCAAGGCGACGAUCUUUAGCUGGUCUGAGAGGAAGAUCAGCCACACUGGGACUGAGACACGGCCCAGACUCCUACGGGAAGCAGCAGUGGGGAAUAUUGGACAAUGGGCGAAAGCCUGAUCCAGCAAUGCCGCGUGAGUGAUGAAGGCCUUAGGGUUGUAAAGCUCUUUUACCAGGGAUGAUAAUGACAGUACCUGGAGAAUAAGCUCCGGCUAACUCCGUGCCAGCCGCCGCGUAACAC
rnacentral:rRNA from 1 species